GCCGGGGUAGCUCAGCCUGGUCAGAGCGUUCGACUCAUAAUCGAAAGGUCGCGGGCUCAAAUCCCGCCUCCGGCAC
rnacentral:tRNA from 1 species